UACGUAGGGGGCGAGCGUUGUCCGGAAUCAUUGGGCGUAAAGAGCGUGUAGGCGGUUCGGUAAGUCCGCCGUGAAAACCUGGGGCUCAACCCCGGGCGUGCGGUGGAUACUGCCGGACUAGAGGGUGGUAGAGGCGAGUGGAAUUCCCGGUGUAGCGGUGAAAUGCGCAGAUAUCGGGAGGAACACCAGUAGCGAAGGCGACUCGCUGGGCCAUUCCUGACGCUGAGACGCGAAAGCUAGGGGAGCGAACAGU
rnacentral:rRNA from 1 species